rnacentral:antisense_RNA from 1 species
AGGCCAAAGGUGCGAGACCACUAGCCAAACAGGCUUCUAGUCCUCACCUCCCGGCAAUUCGCUGUAUGAAGGUGGGCGAGUCACGUCCCAUCUCUCGAGUCCCCAUCUUAGAGCGGGUCCCCAGCAGACCUUUAAGCUUCCUUCCUACUCUGCCAUAUGGCUCUGAGCUCCGGUGCAAAGGCGGCUGGGCAGUGGGUCGCGUGGACCUUGCCCAGAGUGGUCUGUCUGGGCCGCGCACUGCUGGCUCAGCUGCCUUUUCGCUCUCGGGACUCAACAGUGGACAUUGCACCUGGCGAAGAAAUGGCCGCGCGGAAGUUAUUUAAGGACUCUUCCUGGAAGGAGUCACCUGAGCGGACCUGAAUUCCAUCUGAGGACAGAGGACAGAUUCCGGGCCCUGACCCUGGCCCUGCUCUUCGCGCAGAUCCAGGACUGGCUAUCAGUCGCUCUGAGGAUGCGACCUACUUGUCGCCAGCUUUCACUUGGUUCCACGCCAGGACAGGUUUUACUUUCAUUUCUCCCGCGCUCCUCCGACUGCUGGGGAGGUCAAGGACAGCUAGGCGUCGGCCCACGGCCAGGGAAGGUCCCGUGGUCUGGACUCGUUCCUUCCAGUCUCCACCAGUCCUGGGGUGUGGGGCGGGGCGGGGGUGUUCGUUCUCCAGAGAACUCUGCGACUGUACCUCGCUGCCUCCUCGCUGCCCUUUACAAAAGCCCGUGAUUCCGUGGGGAAACUGAGCUGUGGCUCUGCCAGGAGGAUUGCGAAGCAAGUGCUCUUGGUUCAAACUCCUCUU